rnacentral:tRNA from 2 species
GGAGACGUGGCCGAGCGGUCUAAGGCAGCAGUCUUGAAAACUGCCGAGGGGGCGACUCCUCCGUGAGUUCGAAUCUCACCGUCUCCGCCA